rnacentral:rRNA from 1 species
AUGUGUCCAGAUCUGGGAUGCCGCAUGUACCAGAUGAACGGCGCCGAGUUUGACCCCUGUGAUGCUACAUGGGUGUCGAGGAACACUGUUGGAGAGUACUCGCUUUUCAUCGGGGACAGCUACCCCAUUGUGAAGCGGAUGCCACCUUCCGUGCACGACACGGAAGGCCUGCCGUUCAUGAAGCAUGGUUGUGUCUUCAGUGCGCACCGCCGGAUGAAUGACAUGCUGGGACACGCUAUCCCUGAUUUAUGCCGCUUCAGCUUGGAUGAGUAUCCAUCGCGUGGAACCGGACUAGAAAGCCGCGACAAUGAUUCCUGUUGCCCACCGCUAUGGAUCGUGCCAUCCAUGAAGAACAUCUGGGAUUGGAACCUGGAGGAGGACAUGUAG